CACGCCGUAAACGAUGAGUACUAGGUGUCGGGAUCGCGAGGUCUCGGUGCCGCAGCUAACGCAUUAAGUACUCCGCCUGGGGAGUACGUUCGCAAGAAUGAAACUCAAAGGAAUUGACGGGGACCCGCACAAGCAGCGGAGCAUGUGGUUUAAUUCGAAGCAACGCGAAGAACCUUACCAAAACUUGACAUCCCUCUGACCGAUCCUUAAUCGGAUCUUCUCUUCGGAGCAGAGGUGACAGGUGG
rnacentral:rRNA from 1 species